rnacentral:rRNA from 1 species
UACGGGGGGGGCAAGCGUUGUUCGGAAUUACUGGGCGUAAAGGGCUCGUAGGCGGCCAACUAAGUCAUACGUGAAAUCCCUCGGCUUAACCGGGGAACUGCGUCCGAUACUGGAUGGCUUGAGUUCGGGAGAGGGAUGCGGAAUUCCAGGUGUAGCGGUGAAAUGCGUAGAUAUCUGGAGGAACACCGGUGGCGAAGGCGGCAUCCUGGACCGGUACUGACGCUGAGGAGCGAAAGCCAGGGGAGCAAACGGG